AAUGAACGUUGGCGGCAUGGAUUAGGCAUGCAAGUCGAGCGAGAAGAGUUUUGAAGCUUGCUUUAGAACUCGGACAGCGGCGAAAGGGAGAGUAACGCGUAGUUAUGUGCCCUAGGGUCCGGAAUAGCCACGGGAAACUGUGGGUAAUGCCGGAUAAUAUCCCCGGAUCAAAGGUGUGAUUCCGCCCUAGGAGCAGACUGCGUCCUACUAGCUAGUUGGUGGGGUAAUGGCCCACCAAGGCAAUGAUGGGUAGCGGGUGGGAGAGCAUGACCCGUCUCACUGGGACUGGGGCACUGCCCAGACACGUACGGGUGGCUGCAGUCGAGAAUCUUCGGCAAUGGGCGAAAGCCUGACCGAGCGAUGCCGCGUGCGGGAUGAAGGCCCUCGGGUUGUAAACCGCUGUCGUAGGGGAGGAAGGUUCCGUGAAGAGCGGGACUUGACCUAUCCUAGGAGGAAGUACGGGCUAAGUUCGUGCCAGCCGCCGCGGUAA
rnacentral:rRNA from 1 species